GUGCUCACUUCCACAGCACAUACAUUAAAAUUGGGACGAUACAAAGCAGAUUAGCGUGGCCCCUGCACAAGUGUGACAGGCACGUGACCCAGUGAAUAGUGCUGUCCAU
rfam:Canis lupus familiaris chromosome X, whole genome shotgun sequence.